UUUUCUUUUGCAGAGGUCAGGACCAGGCUGACACAGGUUGAAGUUCCUGUAGUCUGGUUAGGGAACAGCCGACGACUUGUUAUUUCAUAAUGAAAGGUUGAUUGAAUAUUAUUUUCUGAUGUGAAAGGUUUAUUAUAACCUUGAAAAAAAGAUUUUUUUGUGUGGAUUUUGCGAUCAUUGUUGCAUUGUUUUGCCAUUGAUGCUCAAAGAAAGCUAUGAAUAAGAUCAAAUUUAGAGAGAGAUACUGAAAGACCGGUAUGUCUAAUGCUGUUUAUUAUGCUUGUGUAACAACUGAAAACAAUAAUGUGAAGUUGGGGAGAAUUUGCUAUUUCAGAUAGCAGAAGUAAACUGUGUGUGCAUUAUGUGGAUUACCAAAUUUCAUUGGAAUACCUGGUAUUGAAAAUGUUUGAAUUGACCAGUACUAUACAUGUAACAUGUAUGAUUUUAAUUUUUCUCUUCAAUUGAUUAUUCAGAUUCUAAGCAUAAAUCAAAUUAUGUCUUUGAUAAGUAUUUUGGUGUGAUUAAUUGGUGAAAAACUUUAAAUCAGCUUUAGUAAUAAGAAUGUUGCCUAAAAUUGGUUCCUGUUUUUGUUUGAUCUAUUUUCUUUAUUCAAUUAACACUGUGAAAUAAAUAUGUGCACCUU
rnacentral:sRNA from 1 species